AGAAUCAACGCUGGCGGCGUGCCUAACACAUGCAAGUCGCACGAGAAAGGGGAGCAAUCCCUGAGUAAAGUGGCGCACGGGUGAGUAACACGUGAAUUAUCUACCUCCGAGUGGGGAAUAACCUAGAGAAAUCUGGGCUAAUACCGCAUAACACUUACGAGUCAAAGCAGCAAUGCGCUUGGAGAGGAGUUCGCGGCCGAUUAGCUAGUUGGCGGGUAAUGGCCCACCAAGGCGAUGAUCGGUA
rnacentral:rRNA from 1 species